rnacentral:rRNA from 1 species
GACAGAGGGUGCAAACGUUGCUCGGAAUUACUGGGCGUAAAGCGCGUGUAGGUGGAUUGGUGUGUCAGAUGUGAAAGCCCUGGGCUCAACCCAGGAACUGCACCUGAAACUACCAGUCUUGAGUGGUGGAGAGGGAAGUGGAAUUCCUGGUGUAGAGGUGAAAUUCGUAGAUAUCAGGAAGAACACCAGUGGCGAAGGCGGCUUCCUGGACACCAACUGACGCUGAGACGCGAAAGCGUGGGGAGCAAACAGG